GGAUGGGUUGAGGUUUUAAGUGGCUGGGGUGGUUUUUGUUUUUCCUUUGUGCUUAGUUUCUGACCUUGUACACUGGUAUCUGCUGGCAAAGAGAUGAGCACCUCACUGAUGAUGUAAAAGUGCCUUGGUCCUAAGCGAGAUUUUUCACAAAGCAGGAAAGGAUUCAUCACAUCUGCAGAAGAAAAGACUGCAGCACUUGCUGGAAGUUGCAAAAUUGUCCUGUGUUUUUAUUCAAGCCCACUUAAAAGAAGAAAACACAGACCUGCUCCUUUCUAACAGAUUCAGAGAUCCCUUAUGCCUGGAUUUAAGUAUCUGCUUUUUGGAAGAAGAGAUGUAGCCUUUGAAGGCUUUUUUAAUGUCUUAGAUCUAGUGUGAGCACUCUACAGUUUUUAGAAUGGUUGACCAAGUCGUUUAAAUUGCCACUAUCUAAAUUGCCAUUUGCCAGUUGAUGGAAGCCAGAAAUGACACUGUGCUGAGUGAAGUUGCUGGAAAGAUGCUUCACAGAAGUAACUGACUGUUUUCAGCUCUCCUGCUACUCCUCUGCAAUUUGCUGGUUUCAGUAUCAAAAGAAGUAUGAAGAUGCCAAGCCCAAUUUAUCUGCCUGUGUGACUCCAAAUACAUACAGCUGUCUGGUAUCUGACACUGGGACCUCAAAGCCAGCAGCUUAAAAAUGGCAGUGACAAAAUGAGUAUGUUGCAAGAGAAUAAUGGGCCUUAUAACUGACUUUGAGUUCCUUUACCUCUGCACUUUUCAAUAAGGACAAGGGAAUGCAUAAUAAGAAAUAUUGUUGAGUGGAGCUUUGUGCAGGAUGGAUUUAUUCUCUGUGCUGCUCCAUAAUUAACUCUCCAAAUGCAUGGAUUAUACUGAUUGGAAGUGGUCAGAGGUGUUUUCCUCCACCACAGAAUAAAGGACAAGCUAGAUCUAUGCAGUACCGCGUCUGAUACUUGCAAAUGUUCAAGAUGGUUAAAAGUAGAUUUUGUGCAAAAAAGGUGCUUUAUAGCAAGCUGACUGCACUAUUUAUCUGAACUUCCCUAUGCAGAUAAGGCUUGUGAUCCCUGAUUGCAGCUUCUGAAAGCCAACUGUGUUCAAACAAACGCACCGCAAAUCAGUUUGGGCUCAUCUGGCUGAUGUUGAUGGAGCUCUGUGUGGAGAAUUGAUAAGAUAUGUCAGUCUCUUAUCUCCCUGCUUUAUAUCUGAAAGAAACAUGUGGUGAGGAGUGCUUGCAUGGCUAUGGAGAGCAUUUGAUUCUCCCUGAUCCUUCACAGCAAGAGUAAAAGGGUGUAGAGGUGUUUCACACCCUCUCAGCUCUGCUGCCAAAAGCCCCCAAGAGGCCAUAAACAGGUGAACUGGCCUGAGACAGCCCUGGACACAGCACUGAGGUAGAAAUCUUGUGGAUUUUGUGUAUUUCUGGAUUUUUUUACGGGUUGGGACUCAUGUUUCAGACGAGUGUUCUGCACAGCAGUAAUAUUGCUGUGCCCCACAAUUACCUGAGGUUACUGACAAGUCAGUUAAGGAGUAUAAAUAUCACAUGACUUGGUUAUAUCACUCCAUCAACAGAGCAGAAGCUGAGAUCUGGAUCUGAAUGUAGGAACUGUCACGUCAAUGUUGGUUACACCACUGACUUGGAUGAAUUGCCACCUUUAUUAAGUGUAUGUGAUAUAUGGCCUGCGUGCAUGUAUAUGUUACUGAGGAGAAAGUGGAAAGAAUGAACUGUAUUUCCAUUGCAAUUAAUUUUUCAGGUAGGACUGAUAUUAUGUCCUGAAAUCUAGGAUCUAAAAAACAGUGACUAUUGCAUCAACAUUUAGAGGAACAGGUAAUUUUGCUGCUACAAGGAAAUCUAACCAUUGCAAUCAAGUCUCAAAACUAUACUGAACUAUGGACUAAAUAAUAUCUAUUCCCUAAUGAUGAAUUCAUUUUCAGUUAAUAACAAGUAUUUGUGAAGUAUAAUGAAAAAUACAGUGCCAUGCAUAGUAAACUGGCCUCUGUUUUCUUUGACAGCAUGCCAGUUUCUCAGCUGCAGCACUACUGUACUAUUCAUCUCCAUAAAGGGCUUUUUUGAAAGCAUUAUUAAACAGCAGGAAGGAAUGGUGUAUGACAGCUUCAUUAGUCACUAGGAACCAAACCUGGCCACUUUCUGCUGGGAAAUACUAGCACAAUUGAAAACAUCCCUGGGCUGAUGGCAUCCAAACAUUUUUUUCCCUCAAAUUUUUGGAGUAUGGCCAGACCUUGGUUUGAAGACCCUGGAAUGGCCGCUGUGCUAUUAAGUCCUCUUUAGGUGAAGUUUGUCUUUUUCUGUGAGGAAAACAUGGACUUCUCUGUCUUAAAGUCCAGAAAUAUUUGCAGGAGACUUUUUAAUUUGAGACACACAGACAAAGGAAGUUCUCUCCAAGUGCAGUGUGAUCUUGCUGAAACUGCAAAUGCCCCAGUACCAUAACUGCAAGCAAGCCCCUUUGUAACAGACACAAUGCUUGAUCAUUUUGGAUAUUCCUCUGCAGUGUUUGCUGAAGGUGCAUCCAGCUGGCAGGGUGCUCUGACAUGUUAAAGAUGCUCUCAGCUCCACUGAGAUCAGUAAAUGUGAGGUUCUGAGCUAACAGUAUUUCAGGUUCUAUUUGUUAGCCUGAGACUAACGGUAUUUAGAGUGAGACCCUUCUGCAUCUUGCUCGACAAAAGUCUAAGCUACAGGAUAAACUCAAGGAUAAAAAUCAAGUUCCUGCAUGAAUCUGUUGCACGAUUUAUUGUUCUUUUUAAAAUAUAACACGCAAUUUGUAAAGUGAAUUACCUGUCUAAGAAAAGUAAAAUCAGCAAAGCCUGCAAAAAUCCCGAUGAAUGCUUUAGCUAGCUUUGAUUCCAAGAAAACACCACCUAAAAGUCAGUUCUUUGUUCAGCAAAGCCUCAGUACCAGCGAAGUCCAGGAAACUGGUGGAAAUCAUAUUAAAAACAAUGUGCACAAAGAAGUAUUUUAUGGUCCAGCUGUUCUUAAUUUUCUGUAUAUUUGUAAAAAUAAAAUUAGCCCUUAAUACAUA